rnacentral:rRNA from 1 species
CGAACGGGUGAGUAACACGUGAGCAACCUGCCCUAUACAACGGGAUAACACAGAGAAAUUUGUGCUAAUACGGUAUAAGACCACAGUAUCGCAUGAUACAGGGGUAAAAGAUUUAUCGGUAUAGGAUGGGCUCGCGACCCAUUAGCUAGUUGGUGAGGUAUCGGCCCACCAAGGCAACGAUGGGUAGCCGACCUGAGAGGGUGAUCGGCCACACUGGGACUGAGACACGGCCCAGACUCCUACGGAAGGCAGCAG